AGUAACAUGCCGAGGUCUUGUAGAGGGCACAAAUGCAGCCCCACAGUCUCACAGCAGAGCCCGCAGCACUGCACCACACUGACGCCUGAGCAAAGUUCACUCCCUGACUGGAGAGCCACAGAGGCACGACCGAAGGUCAGGGGACAGGGUUUCCUAGCAUCCGCGAGCCUUACAGAAAGGCAACUGUGCAGUGCUCCAGCUGGCUUUCUCAUGGAGAGUCAACAGAGACAUUUCCCCUCCAGUAGAACACAGACCGUCUCUCCCCUCCCCCUUGUUGGUUUU
rnacentral:lncRNA from 1 species